AAACAGAGUAGAAGUGCAUCGGAGCAAAAACGCACACAUGCGAGAUGGGUUCAGUCGCCCGCCACUUUCUGGAAAAUGACGGUGAAGCAAUUUGCACGAGUAGGAAAAAUGCUUCCAAGAAUCAAUGAAGGACAGUGUCCAGAGAGGUCCAGAGCCGGCUCGAGGAUGGUCCAGGAAGAGGCCAAGUGUCUACUCUGCAGACAGCUCACCGGUGUGCUGACGGCGUAAUCGAUGGCUCAGAUGGCAAAAACAAAAGCUCAAAUGGGAAAUAAUUCGUCCAGUGUCAUCUACCUUGGACAAAGACCCCAGCUGAAAGCAAAGGAUGUCGCCUGUCUUCUCAUGCUGCCUAAGUCUAUCCAUCCACAGUGUAGAAUCUGCAGCUGCUACCUCAGUCUCCGAGAGCUCCUCUGUCCUCUGCCUGCAGGGCAAGCUGGUAUUGAAUGGAGAGACGUCACUGAUUCAGGCUCAGUUUAUUAUCAGCAAGACUUGGUCAAGAUGUCAUGGGUUCCCGGGCUUUCGACAAGAUGUUCAGAACUGUGCUCCAACCUAAGAAAGGCCCCGGAAGGUGCUCAGCCCAAAGCAAAG
rnacentral:sRNA from 1 species